rnacentral:rRNA from 1 species
CCUACGGGGGGCAGCAGUGGGGAAUAUUGCACAAUGGGCGCAAGCCUGAUGCAGCCAUGCCGCGUGUGUGAAGAAGGCCUUCGGGUUGUAAAGCACUUUCAGCGGGGAGGAAGGCGUUAAGGUUAAUAACUUUGGCGAUUGACGUUACCCGCAGAAGAAGCACCGGCUAACUCCGUGCCAGCAGCCGCGGUAAUACGGGGGGUGCAAGCGUUAAGCGGAAUUACUGGGCGUAAAGCGCACGCAGGCGGUCUGUCAAGUCGGAUGUGAAAUCCCCGGGCUCAACCUGGGAACUGCAUUCGAAACUGGCAGGCUAGAGUCUUGUAGAGGGGGGUAGAAUUCCAGGUGUAGCGGUGAAAUGCGUAGAGAUCUGGAGGAAUACCGGUGGCGAAGGCGGCCCCCUGGACAAAGACUGACGCUCAGGUGCGAAAGCGUGGGGAGCAAACAGGAUUAGAUACCCUAGUAGUC